AGCGGUUGGCUGAAAUAUUAUAUUGCGUGCGUGGAUAUUGGGGUCGCUCCAUGGUGGAAUUCAUCGAUGUGGCUAAGCGUGCGACUUACUCAUAUAGCCAGGUACAUACGAGCGUUUAUCUAAUGAAUUUGUAACCGGCACAGGUGUGUCUACAUCGUACUCGUGCACCACGGAGCGUGGCAAUGUUAAGGCACCGCUACUCGAAGCACCAUCACUACAAACUAUAAUUGGGAGAUCUACACUGCUUCAACUCACCUGGCGUUGUGCUGUGUAUAUUCUUAUCUAUAUUCUUUAGCUCCAUUUGAUCGUGAUGUAUCCAUAGAUCUGGCGGCUUUGGCACUCCCACAUUUUGCAUCCGCAAUGCGCUGACAUCAUUCGGCCAAAGAGGAAGAAACCUGUCAACGUCACAUUUGCAACAAACUAAUCAAUUGGAUCAGUUGCAGGCAGGUCAAGUAAGCAGCAGCAAAUGCAUAGAAAAUCAUCACUGCUCUUUACACAGGCAAACGAAGCCAAUGAACACAAAUAAGUAAUUUUACAACAUGUCUCCUGGCUACGAUGGAGUUCAACAUUCGGCGCUAGUUUAACGGUUAGGCUAACAGCUAACAAUUUUCCAUCAGGAAGCCUUGCAGCGCUUGCUCCUUCAUCAUCUAAACUGGAUUUA